rnacentral:tRNA from 1 species
GGGAGUAUAGCUCAGUGGCAGAGCAAGUGCUUGGUAUGCACAAGGUCUGGGGUUUGAUCCCCAGUGUCUCUG